GAUGAACGCUGGCGGCGUGCUUAACACAUGCAAGUCGAACGAUGAAGCCCAGCUUGCUGGGUGGAUUAGUGGCGAACGGGUGAGUAACACGUGAGUAACCUGCCCUUAACUCUGGGAUAAGCCUGGGAAACUGGGUCUAAUACCGGAUAGGAGCGCCUACCGCAUGGUGGGUGUUGGAAAGAUUUAUCGGUUUUGGAUGGACUCGCGGCCUAUCAGCUUGUUGGUGAGGUAAUGGCUCACCAAGGCGACGACGGGUAGCCGGCCUGAGAGGGUGACCGGCCACACUGGGACUGAGACACGGCCCAGACUCCUACGGGAGGCAGCAGUGGGGAAUAUUGCACAAUGGGCGAAAGCCUGAUGCAGCGACGCCGCGUGAGGGAUGACGGCAUUCGGGUUGUAAACCUCUUUCAGUAGGGAAGAAGCGAAAGUGACGGUACCUGCAGAAGAAGCACCGGCUAACUACGUG
rnacentral:rRNA from 1 species